AUGCUCAUUUCAGCAGCACAUAUACUAAAAUUGGAAUGAUACAGAGAAGAUUAGCAUGUCCCCUACGCAAGGAUGACACGCAAUCUGUGAAGUGUUCCAUAUUUCA
ensembl:snRNA U6 U6 spliceosomal RNA